rnacentral:rRNA from 1 species
GUACACGCUGUGACUAGCAUAUCAAUAAGCGGAGGAAAAGGGAACGCUAUGCAUUGGCUGAUGAAUAAGUUAUGUGAGCUUGGUUACCUACGCUUAGGAUGUUGACACACGCGCGUGCUCGACUCUAUACAUGACUCUGUGCAUAUCAAUAAGCGGAGGAAAAGAAACUAACAAGGAUUCCCUCAGUAACGGCGAGUGAAGCGGGAAGAGCUCAAAUUUGAAAUCUUCAAGGUUUUACCUUGACGAAUUGUAGUUUAAAGAAGUGUUUUCUGCUGAAGUUUUGGUAAAAGUUCUUUGGAAUAGGACAUCAUAGAGGGUGAGAAUCCCGUAUUUGACCAUUAUUUUCAGCUUUGUGAUACACUUUCAAAGAGUCGGAUUGUUUGGGAAUGCAGUCCCAAAAUGGGUGGUAAAUUUCAUUCUAAGGCUAAAUAUUGGCGAGAGACCGAUAGCGAACAAGUACCGUGAGGGAAGGAUGAAAAGAACUUUGAAAAGAGAGUUAAAUAGUACGUGAAAUUGUCAAAAGGGAAGCGUUUAACACCAGUGUUGUUUUCUGAAAAUCAACCUCUGUUAGCUUUAUGCAUGUUUGUUUAGACCUAAUCAGCUAUCUUUCAUGUUCUAUUGUUUGCAGUGGUGCACUUUUCAGUUUACAGGUCAACAUCAGUUUUUUUUACCGUAAAAAAGUUAAAGAAAGGUAGCUCAUGGCUCCGGUCGUGAGUGUUAUAGUCUUUUUCCUAUGCGGUAGGAGAGACUGAGGUCUGCAGUGUAGGCUAUUUGGCUAGAUACUCAGGUGCUAUGUGAUACCAUUUCAUAAACAACUUGUUGAUUAUGUUUUGUCUAUUGCAUACUCGCUUGUACUAUCAUACCUACGCUUAGGAUGUUGAGUAGCGACAUACGCAC